rnacentral:rRNA from 1 species
CUUUCAACAACGGAUCUCUUGGUUCUGGCAUCGAUGAAGAACGCAGCGAAAUGCGAUAAGUAAUGUGAAUUGCAGAAUUCCGUGAAUCAUCGAAUCUUUGAACGCACAUUGCGCCCCUCGGCAUCCCGGGGGGCAUGCCUGUUCGAGCGUCA